GUGUGCUUGUGUGUGUCUGUGUAAAGACAUUAGAAACAUACCAGCACUGAGUCCUGUGAUUGAACAGGAGGAACGUAUCACCCAAGGCCUCUAUUCCAAACCUACUAGGAUACAGAAUGAAGUAGGCCAGGAACCUUAUGAAAGGCCCUAUUAAAAAAAAAAAAUAGGGAUGAAAUCACAGACUGAGGAAUAUACAAGGAGAGCUUGACAAAAGAAUCAGGAGAAAUGUCAGAGUCAGCAUGUACUUUGCUGCAACAACAUCACAUAGGGUUCAUUUUAACCAAUGCCACUUCCCUGCAGGCUUUUGUGCUCUGAGAUGGAGAACAGGAUCGGGGCAUUCCAAUUAUCUAGAUAUGCUUUGACUUACUUUCCUACUUACACCAGCCAUUGAUGAAUCUAAAUCCAAAUGAAGAAGAUUCAAAUUCUAGAAUCAUUUAGCAGGACAUUUUACCUAGAAAUAGAAGGAAAAAUAUCAUCCCUACGACUUUGUAUGACUUUGUAAGUACAGAAAAAAAAACUGAGUUGUAUCUCCCACAAAUCACAUUGUGGAAUUUUUACUGUAUCGAAAGAUUGUUGAAAUUGAUCUUGAAGUUAGCUCACUGAGAUGGGUCCAAGAAUGAAGCAGAGCAUGAAACUUCAUAUAUGGAUAUUUAAGUCAUUUAUAUCCAUGCUGAGAAUAUAUUUACUGUGGUUGACUGACAUCUGUCACUGAAACAGCAGCUAAUUAGAAGGAAAAAAAUUUAAGAAAAAAACAAGCCUGAGUUCUGCUCUAUAAUUUAAGAAGACUCAGCUUCAUCUACAAGUUGUGAUACACAAGUUCAUGAGAAUGAUGGUGCCUUUCAUUUCUGUGGAAUUGAUGCACCACCAGACCAAAGGGAUGCGCAACCAGAAUGGGAGCCGAUGAUGAAUUCUAGCUGGAUGCUAAGCUCAGCCAUGGCACAGAGUCUGAGGCAAAUGAAGCACAAAGCAGAGUGCUCUUUUGAGAUUUACCCUUUGACCUUUGAAGGAGAAGAAGAGAAACUAACAAAUGACAUUUUUUAAAUUUUUUAUUUUUUGAGAUGGAGUCUCUCUCUGUCGCCCAGGCUGGAGUACAAUGGCAUGAUCUCGGCUCACUGCAACCUCACCUCCCUGGGUUCAAGCAAUUCUCCUGCCUCAGCCUCCGGAGUAGCUGGGAUUACAGGUGCCGGCCAUCACACCCAGCUAAUUUUUGUAUUUUUAGUAGAGACAGGGUUUCGCCAUGUUUGCCAGGCUGGUCUCCAACUCCUGACCUUAAGUAAUCCACCGCCUCAGCCUCCCAAAGUGCAGGAAUUACAGGCAUGAGCCACUGCCCCCCAGCCCAAAUGACAUUUAAGGUUAGAUUGGAGCUGAGAGUUUGAACAAACUUCAAAUCUCAGAAUAACAGCAAAAUUUCAGUCACAUUAUGUGGAUUCAGUCACAUUGUGAUCAAAACAGAAGAAAAAGGGUUAACUAUCUACUUGAAGAAAAAAGAUCUUCAUGUAGAGGGAAACAGAGACCAAGAGGAGAUAAAUUGGUUUAAGGAUAUGUCAAUACCUUUUCUUUGAAUGACAAGAAGCUUUUGAUACUACUCUUUCCUCUUGGAAAUUAUCCAAAAAAAUAAUGUUUACUAUUUUCUAGACUGAAGUUUAAGACUUGGUUGGGUUUUAAGGUCUCUAAAGCUAAUAUACAUUUCUUGUUCAUUCAUUUAUUCACCAAAUGGAAAUCUUUAGUUUGCUGCUCUUCUUCUGGGCAAAACUCAAAGUUUUUUCUUUAAUACACAUAUUCUCUUUGGCACACAUAAUUAGGUGGCAUGGAUGGGCUUCACUACCACCCCUGAUGCUAACAGUGCCCUUUAAGAAGCAGCUAUUCAGCCUCCUGGAAAUAGGAUUUUCCUCUUUCUUCCAUGGUAGCAAGUAGAAGAUUUUCUUUCUUCCCUUGAUGGUGUGAUAUGAAGAUAUGGAGCCUGGAACAACUAAACCCAUUAUGCUGCCAAGAGAAGACACCUGGGCCUUGGUGGGUUUGAACCACUGAAUUAAGUCUUCACCAAAAUCAGAACAUCUUCUGGACUUUUAAGUUCCAUGAGUUAAUAAACCCUCUUUAUUGGUUAAGCCUUUUUGGUUCAGGUUUUUUGAGUCAUUUGUUUUCAAGAAUCUUUGCAGAGUCAAAAUAACAUUGUGCCAGUUUCUAGAACUAAGACAGUUAAGACUAUCCUAUGCUUUUAAGAGGCUUCCUUUGUGAUGCAAAUAUGACCUCUGAGCAAGUAAGAGACUGAAGUACUAGAAAAAAAACGUCUGAAUUCAAUUUUUAAAAAGGACAAUUAUAAGAAAGAAAAGGAAGAAACAUUUUGUCAGGGGGCCCGGAUAUAGGAACAGAUAACAAAAGAUUGUUCCACCUGCCUGCCUAGGAGAAACAACAAACCAAAAAGUCAUCUGAAAAUCUGCAACUUUUGAUCUAAAUGCAAAUCAAACCAGUUUCUGUGAAAAGCACUUAAACAUCCAGAAGGCUUGUUGUGCAGAACUGAGAAUUUGGGGAUUGCCCACAGCCUUGAAAAGUACAGAACAUGUUCUUUCCUCCAACAAAUAAUUGGGAACAAGAAGUCUGUCUGGAAUUAAUUCAAUUGGUGUCAAGGGUGAGUUACAAAACCAUCAACAUCUAAGAAAUCAACUGUGUUAUCUUUAUCCUGUGUUUUUAUCCAUAUGAAUAAUUUAAACUAUUAUAAAUAGCAGAUUGAUUGUAUUUUCAGAUCAUAGCUAUAUUUAAUUACAUCUUCUGUCACAUAAAAAAUGGCUAAGAUUUUUAACCUUUCUUUUUCAAGAGUAAAGGCAGCUCCCUGGCAUGACCAGGAAUGGGCCUUUUGUUGAACACAAAAUUGAGAUUUAUGGUGCUGGGUUAUAUAAAGAAAAAGGAAAAUAAAUGUAUUUGUCUUGUGACUAUAAAGAAUGAUUUCUUGUAGAUUUAGCUUUGGACUUCUACAUACAAAAGAGGGAUGUGUGAUGUGGCACAGUAAGACUAAAUCCUAAUGUGUACAAGUCACCUGGAUAUUGUGUUGAAAUGCAGAUGCAGACUUAGGAGAUCUGAGGGAGGGCCUUAGAUCUGCAUUUCCGGUAAGAUCCCCAUUGAUGCUAAUGCAUUUGGGCCUACUGGCCACACUUUAAGAAGCAAGAGUAUAGAAGAAAGAACUAAGGUAUAUAGUAUUCAAGAAGUCUGGCUUUAGUUCCAGUUUCAUCACUAAUUAGCCAUGAGACCUCACCAAUAUCACUUAAAUAUAUUCCUCAUGUAUAAGAUGAUGGGGCUGGACUUAGUCAUCUCAAAAUUCCUGACACAAGAACUGGGAGUGAUGACGUGUGCCUGUAAUUCCAUCUACUCAGGAGGCUGAGGCAGGAGGAUUACUUUCUUUCUUUCUUUUUGAGACUGAGUCUCACUCUUUCGCCCAGGCUGAAGUGCAGUGGUGUGAUCUCGGCUCACUGCAAACUCCACCUCCCCAGUUCAAACAAUUCUCCUGCCCCAGCAUCCUGAAUAGCUGGGACUACAGGUGCCCACCACCACACCUGGC
rnacentral:lncRNA from 10 species